rnacentral:tRNA from 1 species
GGAGAAAUACUCAAGAGGCUGAAGAGGCGGGCUUGGAAAGCUCGUAGGGUGUAAAAGCCGCGAGGGUUCAAAUCCCUCUUUCUCCGCCA